ACAAAGUUGGGUAAGGCACAGCUGUGUAAGUACAUGUGCGCCAACGAUCAUAUUUUCAGUGCAAGUAAUGGGGGAGAUGGAGUAUGUUAAGGAAACAAAGGAAGGGCACUCACCGGGAGAAAUUUACGUUGACGUAAGAUCUGAGGGGGAAUCUGUCAGAGGUAGCUGCCCAGCAUAUGCAAGAAUGUCAGACAUACUACCUGUAUUUAUUUGCCUCUUGGAGAAAUGUCAAAUUGAGGGAAUGAAAAUCUGUACAGAUGUCUAAAGAAUUACAGAGAACAAAACCGGAACAAAGACAAAAUCAUAAAUUCUCAACACUGAAGAUUAGUGGCCGUGAAACAAAAUCUCAGUUAACCUGUUGUUUCCACACCAUAAACUGAAGAGUUCUUCUUUUCCCACUGAUCUGCCAUCUCAUCUGUCAAAGAAAUCAGUUUAAGGGCUCUAAGUAAUCUAUUUAUCACUGUACCAAUCUCACAUUAUCUUAAUUACUUUAGUGUAGAGAAAUAACUGAGGACAUGGAAAGGAGACUUGACCCA